rnacentral:rRNA from 1 species
GAAACCGGAGCUAAUACCAGAUAACAUGUUGAACCGCAUGGUUCAACAGUGAAAGACGGUCUUGCUGUCACUUAUAGAUGGAUCCGCGCCGCAUUAGCUAGUUGGUAAGGUAACGGCUUACCAAGGCAACGAUGCGUAGCCGACCUGAGAGGGUGAUCGGCCACACUGGAACUGAGACACGGUCCAG